rnacentral:rRNA from 1 species
UACAGAGGUCUCAAGCGUUGUUCGGAUUUACUGGGCGUAAAGGGCGCGCAGGCGGUCAUUUUUGUCGAGUGUGAAAGCCCCGGGCUUAACCGUGGGAACUGCGCUCGAAACGGGAUGACUAGAGAUCGGGAGAGGAGAGUGGAAUUCCCAGUGUAGAGGUGAAAUUCGUAGAUAUUGGGAAGAACACCGGUGGCGAAGGCGGCUCUCUGGACCGAUACUGACGCUGAGGCGCGAAAGCGUGGGGAGCAAACAGG